AUGUUUUUUAGGUUUUGAUUUUUAUUACAUCCUCAUAUGAAAAUCAAAACCUAAAGAAAAUG
rnacentral:pre_miRNA from 1 species